rnacentral:rRNA from 1 species
UGGUGGUGUGAGUUGUCUGGUUGAUUCCGUUAACGAACGAGACCUUUGUUGUAUAAUAGGAGGCACUAGUAUGAGCGUAAAAGGGCACGCGUUGGGACUUGCUGGGUCGCGAGCAAUCGCCCCCGGCAAGCAUUCCGCGCUGCUUGCUGAGCUAGUAGUCAGCGUCCUUCUAUACAAGACAAAUAACAGAAAAUAGUAUUGGAAGUUAUAGGCAAGAACA